GGACAGGGAGACAGGUGGUGGCAUGGUUGUCGUCAGCUCGUGUCGUGAGAUGUGGGUUAAGUCCGCAACGAGCGCAACCCCUACGUUUAGUUGCUAACGCGUGAAGGCGAGCACUCUAGACGAACUGCCGUUGACAAAACGGAGGAAGGUGGGGAUGACGUCAAAUCAUCAUGCCCCUUAUGUUCUGGGCUACACACGUGCUACAAUGGCCGGUACAGACGGACGCAAAGCCGCGAGGUGGAGCAAAUCCUAAAAAGCCGGUCUCAGUUCGGAUUGCAGGCUGCAAUUCGCCUGCAUGAAGUCGGAAUCGCUAGUAAUCGCAGGUCAGCAUACUGCGGUGAAUACGUUCCCGGGCCUU
rnacentral:rRNA from 1 species